GUAAGCGCGCGGCGGAGCAUGGUUUUGGG
rnacentral:piRNA from 1 species